ACGGGACACAAGUAGUAUAAAACUACGGAGCUAAAAUAUUAUUGUUGAAAAUUAAAACAGAAAAAAAGAAGGAAAGAUUAAGGAGGGAGAAAGUGACGGUAGAUAGGGGUGGGGACGAGCACAAGUUUGUUAUUAUCCACUAAAUGGGUAUUCGUGGCAGUAAAAGGUUGGAAGAUCAGGAGAAGGACCCACCAUGGCGAGUGAUAAGUUACAGGUGGCUAAAUCCUGCGCCUUAAUUUGGACAGCAGCGACACCACUUUAACACCAAGUAACUGAAACUGAAUGAACAUCCCCCAUUCCCUGAAUCCCCUCCCC
rnacentral:lncRNA from 1 species